GCCCUCUGGCUUCUCUUCAGAUAUGAAAUAAAUGUUUCGCCUUUUACUAAAGAUUUCCGUGUAGAGGACCCUCUUAUGAGUCUAAAAUAAAUUGUUGUUCGUCGGUUAAAGCGGUUG